rnacentral:tRNA from 1 species
AGACCCAUAGCACAAUUGGUCGUGCGCCUGACUCUUAAUCAGCGAGAUUCCGGUUCAAGUCCGGAUGGGUCUACCA